ACUCAGUGAAAUUGAACUCGCUGUGAAGAUGCAGUGUACCCGCGGCAAGACGGAAAGACCCCGUGAACCUUUACUAUAGCUUGACACUGAACAUUGAGCCUUGAUGUGUAGGAUAGGUGGGAGGCUUGGAAGUGUGGACGCCAGUCUGCAUGGAGCCGACCUUGAAAUACCACCCUUUAAUGUUUGAUGUUCUAACGUUGACCCGUAAUCCGGGUUGCGGACAGUGUCUGGUGGGUAGUUUGACUGGGGCGGUCU
rnacentral:rRNA from 1 species